rnacentral:lncRNA from 1 species
CAAAGGGAGAAGCUGAGCUGCAGAAACAACCAAGAACUAAUAAAUCACCCCAGUUCCAUCUACAGCUGGAGCACAUUGUGAAAAUGAGGUGUCAGAGCCUGUGUGUGCUGGGUAUCCUCAAGCUCAGAAUACCCCAGUACUGCCCCAAAAUGUUGACAUAAAUGGAAUCCGAGACAGGUCUGUUAAAUGGGAUGUCCAGGCCAAGAGUGGCUGGAGUGUCCAUCCCAACUACAGACCAGCUGCAUCCUGAAGCCUUCCCCAGCGUGGUUUGGAGUGUUGCUGUGUUUCUCCAGCUGAUUCACACAGAAAGUAGGUGCUGCUGCUAGAAUGGUCCCCAAAACCUUUGGAUGUGACUUUGCAUGUCUGGUAGCUGUAAAAUACUGUCUGCAAAAAUGUAAAUGAAUAUUUUAGUGAUUUAUUAACCAGUAAAAUUAAC